AACGAACGCUGGCGGCAUGCCUAACACAUGCAAGUCGAACGAGACCUUCGGGUCUAGUGGCGCACGGGUGCGUAACGCGUGGGAACCUGCCCUUAGGUUCGGAAUAACUCCCCGAAAGGGGUGCUAAUACCGGCUAAUGUCUUCGGCCCAAAGAUUUAUCGCCUUUGGAUGGGCCCGCGUUGGAUUAGCUAGUUGGUAGGGUAAAAGCCUACCAAGGCGACGAUCCAUAGCUGGUCUGAGAGGAUGAUCAGCCACACUGGGACUGAGACACGGCUCAGACUCCUACGGGAGGCAGCAGUGGGGAAUAUUGGACAAUGGGCGAAAGCCUGAUCCAGCAAUGCCGCGUGAGUGAUGAAGGCCUUAGGGUUGUAAAGCUCUUUUACCCGGGAUGAUAAUGACAGUACCGGGAGAAUAAGCUCCGGCUAACUCCGUG
rnacentral:rRNA from 1 species